rnacentral:rRNA from 1 species
GACGAACGCUGGCGGCGUGCUUAACACAUGCAAGUCGAACGGAAAGGCCCUGCUUUUGUGGGGUGCUCGAGUGGCGAACGGGUGAGUAACACGUGAGUAGCCUGCCCUUGACUUUGGGAUAACUUCAGGAAACUGGGGCUAAUACCGGAUAGGAGCUCCUGCUGCAUGGUGGGGGUUGGAAAGUUUCGGCGGUUGGGGAUGGACUCGCGGCUUAUCAGCUUGUUGGUGGGGUAGUGGCUUACCAAGGCUUUGACGGGUAGCCGGCCUGAGAGGGUGACCGGCCACAUUGGGACUGAGAUACGGCCCAGACUCCUACGGGAGGCAGCAGUGGGGAAUAUUGCACAAUGGGCGGAAGCCUGAUGCAGCAACGCCCCGUGCGGGAUGACGGCCUUCGGGUUGUAAACCGCUUUCGCCUGUGACGAAGCGUGAGUGACGGUAAUGGGUAAAGAAGCACCGGCUAACUACGUG